rnacentral:rRNA from 1 species
AGAGUUUGAUCAUGGCUCAGGAUGAACGCUAGCGGCAGGCCUAAUACAUGCAAGUCGAGGGGUAAGAGUCAGCUUGCUGACUACACGACCGGCGCACGGGUGCGUAACGCGUAUGCAACCUACCUUUAACAGAGGAAUAGCCCCGAGAAAUCGGGAUUAAUACCACAUAACAUUAUGAUAUGGCAUCAUAUUAUAAUUAAAACUCCGGUGGUUAAAGAUGGGCAUGCGUGACAUUAGCUAGUUGGUGAGGUAACUGCUCACCUAGGCUACGAUGUCUAGGGGUUCUGAGAGGAUGAUCCCCCACACUGGUACUGAGACACGGACCAGACUCCUACGGGAGGCAGCAGUAAGGAAUAUUGCGCAAUGGAGGCAACUCUGACGCAGCCAUGCCGCGUGCAGGAUUGAAGGCCUUAUGGGUCGUAAACUGCUUUUAUUUAGGAAUAAACUUUCGUACGUGUACGGAAACUGAAGGUACUAAACGAAUAAG